AAAACACCCGGAUGUCUGGCAGAUUUUCCACAAUUUCGCACUGACUGCAGUUCAACAGUUUGUACUUCUGCUGAAAGGUCAACCCCAUGUCAAAAAUUAGUAACUUUAGAUUGGGGAACUUCUUUAUAAGGACUUGUUCCCUACUGCGAAUGAACUCCCGCACUGCCUGAUAGUUAGACACAGAUGUUUCUAGUAAGAUGACGGGGUAGCUCCCCUCGUCGUUGUACAUGCCGGGCACACCGGGGGGCCUGGAUACUGUCAGUCGCUGCAGUGUCUCGUUGAAAUGCGACAAAAACUUCCAGAUGGCUAUCCCAUCAUGCUGCAGCGACCUCUGUUCCUGUCCAGACACGAAACUCUCGGGAACCGUUCGGGACGCCUCAGCGAGUAACGCUCCAAUGGCGAACGUCAGCGUGUACCUGCGCGAUUGCCAAUGCGAGGCUUUGACGACGACAGACGAGAAUGGCGAUUUCCUGAUCAAGGGCGUGUGUGUGAAGGAGGGCGACCUUGCCAAGUUCGAGUUUCCCGGAUACGCGUCCUUCCUCAGUUCUAAUAUUACAAACCCCAAUAAUGACGGCAACUUCAUCGCUAAUGGAGAAAUGUCACCUUUAGUCGAAACUACAACAAUAGCGACGUCACAAGAGGCGAAAUAGAAUAAAAGACUGUAGUUUAUACUUUUGUUGCGAAUUACACACACUGUUAAAAUUGAUUCAUAGAUAACUUUGAACGUUUAUUGAAAUGCGAGUUCGGUAUAUCGUAAUGACUGAAUAUUUGUUCCAUGCUAGCAUACAUUUUUCAGGAGUCAUUUGGCGCCAUUCUAUAGCUCAUCACACCUGUAACUUGCGUAAAGCAUCGUUUUGAUAAAACACUAGUCAAUCUAAACUGUUUUCGUUCAUUAAUCAUUUAAAAACUGAUAUGAUAUACUUCUGAUGAAAGAGAUGCUUUCGAAAUUUAAAAUUUUGUAAAAUACAUGCACAAGUAAAUUCAACGAUAUGCUUCUCAUGCUUCUUGCGGACUGUGUCAACCGACCAGUAGAUGUUUUCGUUAUAUAGUAACCAUGGUAACUGUUGUUCCUUAUUUAGAUGUUCAAAGUGACGCAUUUGAUAUAGCUUUAUAGUGAUACAUAAUUGCAAUUUGUUGUUAAUAUAGUGAAGUCUUACAUAUCAUAAAUGUAUAUUUCUGUAUAAUUCCACGAGGAUGUAUUCGUACGCAGCCCUCGGCGGAGCUACUUGUAUGUAAUGCGGCCUGUUUCUUCACGUGAAUAAAUGUCGAUCUACUUUUGUUUAAUAAAUGGAGGAAAAAAU
rnacentral:misc_RNA from 1 species